ACUCCUACGGGAGGCAGCAGUGGGGAAUAUUGGACAAUGGGCCACGAGCCUGAUCCAGCAAUUCUGUGUGCACGAUGAAGGUCUUCGGAUUGUAAAGUGCUUUCAGUUGGGAAGAAGAAAGUGACGGUACCAACAGAAGAAGCGACGGCUAAAUAUGUGCCAGCAGCCGCGGUAAUAC
rnacentral:rRNA from 1 species